GUUUGCCCUGGUGGCCCCUGUCCAGGCUGAAGAAGACUCUGGUAAUGUAAAUGGGAAAAAAAGAAACCACACAAAGAGGAUACAGGACCCUACAGAAGAUGCUGAAGCUGAGGACACACCCAGGAAAAGACUCAGGACGGACAAGCACAGUCUUCGGAAGGUCUCGGACAGCCCGGGAGACGAGCCCUCGGAGUCCCCAUACGAAAGUGCAGACGAAACACAAACUGAAGUAUCUGUCUCAUCCAAAAAGUCUGAGCGAGGAGUGACUGCCAAAAAGGAGUAUGUGUGCCAGCAAAAUGGGAUUUUCUGCCACUGGAGACAGAAGCAGACGGCUUCCCUUGUGGUAAGAGGUGCAGAAGGGACUGCCGGGCGCUGCUUACCCGCCUGCUCUGCCCCCGCAGCUGUGUGAGAAGCCGGGCAGCCUCCUGCUCUGUGAAGGACCCUGCUGCGGAGCUUUCCACCUCGCCUGCCUUGGGCUUUCCCGGAGGCCAGAAGGGAGGUUCACCUGCAGCGAGUGUGCCUCAGGGAUUCACUCAUGUUUCGUGUGUAAAGAGAGCAAGACAGAUGUUAAGCGCUGUGUGGUAACUCAGUGUGGAAAAUUUUACCAUGAGGCUUGUGUGAAAAAAUACCCUCUGACUGUAUUUGAGA
rnacentral:lncRNA from 1 species